GGGUAAAUCUGGGCCUUUCCUUGGUUGCAAACUGGUCACCAAGGAAGGCCUAGACCACAUAGUCCAGUCAAAUAAAAUACCAUUGCUGGGGCUAAAAUAUAUAGUGAGAGGGGUUCCUGAAGGUUUUCUGGGAACACUGACAACUCUUGAGUGAGAAGAACCUAAGAUCGGUCUCCUCCACCUUCUCAAAGGACAUCAAGCCUCAAGACGCUUAGGAUCCUCUGUGCCAUUGCUUCCUGCUUUGAAUGAGAAUGCAAGCACUCCUACCAGCCUCACCUAUAUGAUGGCUCGCUGCCCGGAGAAACUGCCAGGGAGCCGAGCCCAUGGAGACAAAGGCACACGACAAACCCCAACAGAGCUCCAGAGCUGCUGGAAGAGGAGAAUCUGAUCUAUUGACUUGUUCCCAAAAUAGUACCAAGUGGGAGGUGACUGACUGGCUAAUACCUGUGGUGCUUCCAUUACUGAAUGAGAUGAAGUCUGUUGCCAGGAAUCCUGGGGUGGUUUCCUUGACAACCAGAAGAAAUGCACAACUGCGAUGCACAUGACUUUUCAGGUGCUUUUUUAACUCCCCUGAAACAAUGAG